CAGGCCCAGGCCGCGGACGGUCGCAGAGCCGGCGCCGGCCCGUCUCCGUGGUAACCGGCUCGCCGCAGAGGCCUCUGGGAAUUCUAGUUGGGCGGGGUGGGGCCCGCGCCGCUGCCGUUAGCGCUCGCCGCCGCGGUGAGAGCGGGCGCGGUAGCCGCAGCCCGGCCCGGCCUUUGGCGGCGAGGGUUCCCAGCGUCCGGGGCGGGCUCCUCCGCGGUACCGCAGCCACCGAGCAUCCAGGCAGAAAGUUUUUGAAAUAUAAAGAAGCAUUUCUCUGAAAUUUAACCCUCCCACAGUACAAGUGACCUUCCUUGGGGACUUUUCCAGCCAAGAAUGAUCACAGCCGCGAGGGGGUCUGUAUCCUUGGACCCCCAGGCCCCUCAAAAGCAGGACAGAAUUGUGGUGGUGAAGGUGGAGGCAGAGGGCCACUUUAUCCUCGCAGCCGGGAGCUGGCCCACUCGCGCUUCAGACGGUUCUACCACCAGGAGACCAGGAGAUUUGCCACCCGGUGAGGUUCUGCGAUGUCCCCAUGAGCUCUGCCACCAGGGGCUGAGGCUGGAGAGACAUCGCAAGCUGCCCAUCCUGGAGCUGCUGAUGCUGGAGCAGUUCCUGGCCAUCCUGCCCCCGGGGCUGCAGAGCUGGGGCUGGGAGCGCCCCUGGGCCGUGGAGAGGAGCUGGCUGUGACGGACCGGAAGUUUCCUGGGGGCAGAGGGCACCUCCACCAGCGGCACAAGAACCACCACACGUCGCCAGCUUCAGCCAGUGAGACCCAGUUCAAACGCGGAUCUUGGGAGCUCCACCCCCUCCAAGCCAGUGCCUCAUUUUUCAUCGUGGUGUCACAUGCCGCCAUUCAUGUCAUGGGUCCCCUGUGAUCGGCAGGGGUUUUAUCUCCACAGCCACCUUUGCACAGCAAUAAUAUUUGGAUUCUCUCCGUCUGGGUUCCGAUGGUGACCUCAGGACUGAGGACGGCUUCAGCUCAGAUCAGGAACUUGCUGAAGGAAGGCCUCCCCAGUGACUCAAGCAGACUCCAGGGAAGCUCUACAGGCACCAGAGCUGGGAGGCCCGCAGAAUGUUCCAGGCCCUUGGGCCGCCUCAGGGAACCUCCCAGAGAGCAGGCCGAGCAGCCAUCCUGCCCAAGAGAGGAGUUUCAAGCAGGAGAGAGAAGAGACAAGCCAUGAAGGUGACAAGUGACAAGCCUGCAGGCCAGGUGAGCUCCUGGUUCCAGAUUAGAAAAGAUGUCUGGGCAAAGGCCACAGCGAUGUCACACGUGUGGCUGUGGUCGAGCAGACACAGCCCUCCUUCAGCAUCAGAGCCCAUGCGGAAGAGAAGCCUCAGGUGUGAGCGAGUGGAACCGACUUCCAGAUCACCCAGAGCCCGUGUGACAGGUCAGGAGGCUGUUACUUUGAUGAGAAAAGGAGAGAGGCGGGACCACCAUGGCCCUGAGCAGGGAAGCUGGUGUGUGUGAGCUGAGGGGCACGAAGGACACAGCUAGACACGGUCCCCAAACACAGGCCUUCUCUGCGUGGCUUCGUCACCACCAGGUGUGUGCUCCCCAGGUGCCGAAGGGCAAGGGAGCUGGCCCGCUCAGCCACUCGUCACCAGGCCACUCAGCUCCCACAUCAGCCACCUGGCCUCCACCUUAGUCCCUUCUUACGCCACUUUUCUGUCACUUCUGCUCUUUUGUAAGAAACAUAAUACAUUUUUUCUCUUCUCAACAAGCGUAAUACAUGUCCAUAACAGACACUUUUAAAAUACAUGUAAACAAAAUGAAAAAAAUCUAGUCACCUAUUCCAGAAUCACGGGUAACAUGGAGUGUCUUUCUAGCAUUUCUUCCUAAGCAUAUAUAUACAUUUUCUCCAUUUUUCAGGUUUCUCUAAAAAAAGAGGUAGGGAACCUCCCUGCAGUCCGACUUCCUUUCACCUGGGAGCCGAGAAUGGGAACCAAGAGAAGCCUGUGUCUUGUGGACCCCGCCCUGGCGGCCUCAGGAGCAGGACCUCUUUCGGCCACCAGAGGGGGGUGUCUGCUCACGCACGUCUGUCCCAGUUUUCUCCUCGGGUCCAGGAAUGGGCAGCUCCCCUGGAAGCCACCGUGGCCACUCCUCGCUUUAUUGCUCAUUCUGCUCCCUGCCCCCCCGGGAAACCUUCUUGGUUCCUGAGGAGAAACAGACCGAACUCCCAGGCUCCCUCUGGACCACGUCUGCCCAGAUUUCCCGCAGCCUUGGACAGCUCUCCUCGCCGGUGCCGCCUUUGGGCCUCAGAGGGAGGGGAUGAACUGCUUCCCGUUGUUCUCAGGGUCGAGUCCCGAGGCCCUGGACGGCCCGGCCCCUCUCUGUUCCUCCCCCCCUCCCUCCACGUUGGGCUCCGUUUUCCUCACUUACACUACACUGGCCAUCUUCCGGCUCCGUUCACUCUGUUCCCUCACCAGCUGACCCUCCCGCGUGUUGCUCUCGGGAAGGCGCCCCCCAGCCCGCCCCAGGCAGAUGCUUGCUGUUCCAGGGCUGAGCUGACACGCUGCUUCUUCCCGGGAGUCGCUCCCAACCCCGCGAGUCUGGGAUACGGGAUUCUCUUCUCUGCUUCCUGGGGCCCAGGAGUUCUUUCAGAACUCGUAGCAUGCUGGGUUGUCUGCCUCCUUCUAGAGUAGAAGUUCCAGGAGGGCAGGGACCGUGUCAGUCUUACUCGUGUCCCCAGCACGGACGCACCCUUCCCGGCGCUCCGCAGGGCUCAAUGAAGAUCUGCUAAAUGGGCGCAUGAAUGAGUGAAUGCAGGAAUGAAGGAGUGUGCCUUUCCCUGGUCCCUGAAGUAGAGUCUCCGAAAGCCGUCCCCUUCUCUCCUUCUGUCCCCUUGCCCUCCCAGUUCGCCAGGUGCCUCUCAUUGUCCCUACAACUCUGGAAACAGCCGGAGGAAUCGCACACUAAUGGCCCAGUUCCCUCCCUUGUGUGGGGCAGACAGUGGGGUUUGGAGCGAGAUGGACUGAGCUUCAAGUACUCUGCCACUUAAUAGCUGUGCACGCACCUUAUUUUCUUUAUUUACAAAGUGGAGAUAACAGGUCCCAGGCCGUUGCUCUGAGAAACCCCGGGCCAGCUCGACAUGUGGUGAACAGCCAUUACGCCCGCGUUCUUUCUCCCUCCCUUCCCCGCGCUCUCUCCUACGCCCCCUCCGAAGCCUUGGGCCACAGACACCCCUGCAGUCCAAAAGGUGCCACUGUCUUCCUGAUCCCCUCUCUCUUCCCCGAGGUUGUCCAAGCCACUUGUUGCUGACACCUCCUUCCUCCCUGUCCCUUAUCCCCAGCACAAAUGUUAAUGUCAGCUACAGAGCAGAGUAGAAGCUGAGAAGACACUUGUUGAAUGAAUGAACCAGUCACCGCGUCCUCCCCUGCGGCGUGUUUGCCAGUUGUCAAACGUGUAAAGUGGUCGCCAGCCCGUUGAUGGGCAGGGGCCUCCUGCCAUUGGACGACUCCCGUGACAGGUUGGGCACGUGUGAAGACACAAGGCCGAGACUUUACUGAAGAAAGAGGGGGAAGGAGGAGGGACGACGAGGAAACACUGUGGCCCUGGGGAAAAGGAGACCACCAACGUCAGCGGAGCCCGGGCCCUUCUCUUCUGCACAGCAUUAGGUGCCCCUGUGGGUGGACCCCAAGGGUUACAUGUGCACGACUGUGUCACGGAGCAGACUCUCCUACAGGGUGUCUGCGAUCCCCGCAGCCACAGUCUGUCUUCCCGUGACUUGUACUAAAAGUACAAGUUCCAACAAAAGUGCUUUCUAGAUUCGCCCC
rnacentral:lncRNA from 1 species